UACGUAGGGUGCAAGCGUUGUCCGGAAUUAUUGGGCGUAAAGAGCUCGUAGGCGGUCUGUCGCGUCGGCUGUGAAAUCCCGGAACUCAACUCCGGGCCUGCAGUCGAUACGGGCAGACUGGAGUUCGGCAGGGGAGACUGGAAUUCCUGGUGUAGCGGUGAAAUGCGCAGAUAUCAGGAGGAACACCGGUGGCGAAGGCGGGUCUCUGGGCCGAUACUGACGCUGAGGAGCGAAAGCGUGGGGAGCGAACAGG
rnacentral:rRNA from 1 species